GGGGGGGCCUCAGUAGUAGUUUUUACAUGAACACAAGAUGAAAGGAUUUCUGUGUCGGUUACUUGGUGUGGUUGGUUGAAUAUGUAUACAUCUGUGUGCUUGAAUAUAGCUACACUUACUGUAUGUGCAUAUUAACGAUGAAGAUAGGCAAUAUUAUCCGCUUCAAGUAUUUGACUAUCAAGUAGUGUCCUUAAUAAUUAGUGCCCUUCAAUACCGUUGUACAGAAUGACCCUUUUUAAGAUGAACUCCUAAAAUACACAUUUGUACUCCUAAGUGUGACUUAGCAGAUAUGAGCAGACCACGCGGAAGUGAGAGAGUGAGUAUUUGUGCGUGCAUAUGUAAGUGUGUCUGUCUGUAUUUUAAUCUUACCAAACCCGUUACAGCGUUAGAUACCAAAUGGCAUUUCCGGUGCUCUUAGACUAGGUUACUGCUUUAACACGUUUAACUGUCUUCAUUUCAUUCAGUCUUUGACUGGUUAAGGUGGUCCAGUUCAAUGUCACCUCUGGUUUUUAAUGAUUAUUAUUCUAUUAUUAUAGAUAUAAAUGAUUUCAUUUCAUUUGCUAUGUGUUUUUUUUUGUUUGUUUUUUUGUAUUACACUGCUUAGUUCAGUUUUCUAAUGGAAAAUGAUAGGCGCAGAAAUAUGUUUCAUAAAGAGUGUGUUUUUAGUCUCUCUCUCUCUCUUUGCUUAAAAAAAAGAGGACUUGUUCAGUAGAUUAUCCAAGGGUGCCCUCCCAAAGAACUUGGAAGUCGUUAUUUCUAUUUCGUUGGGGUUUUAACAAAUCCUCCAAGUCAUGUGUGUCUGUUGGCUUUUUAUUUGUAAUUAACAACAUUGUCAUUUUCCCGUAGAUGACACUGUUUGAAAUGUAUCUGGUUGACAACUGUAUUUAUUAGUUACAAGGAUCAGAGCAGAAGCAGACAGGAGUUGAUUCAUUUGAUUCUUUUCUGAUUAGUUUUUAUACUUUGUUUUCACUGUCUCCGAUGUGAAAGCUCUACCUCGUCUGAGGCCUUCUCAGUUCUGUUAAAGUUUUGUACAUCGUUGCAGAAAAUGUCAUGUCACCAUGUCCACAUUAAAUACACAAAACAUGGCACCAUUCAACCGGUUUCAUCAGUCUCCCUUCCUCGCAUGUGACAGAAUGAGCAGCAUCCUGUAGGGGAAAGAAGUGUAAAUUGUGCCAUUUGUUGUUGUUUUUUUACAUUAAGGAUCACUCCGUCAAGGGAAAUAUAGUUUUCUUUCUAACAAAGGUAUCGACAUAUAUUUCAGGAUGUUGUGUAUCCCUGGAAAUAAUCGGAAUUCAUGUAAACAUUACAGUUUUGUAAAUAUAGCUUGUCCAAUAAAGUGGUCUCUUGGCACAACUUACCCUGGGUAUGGGUUAAGAUGCCUACAAAUUCUUAGACUGAAUGAAAUAUUCCCACUACCUUUUUAAAACCAUGUCUAUGUUAUUUCCCAAAUUCAAUUCGACAUCACUUUUUUUUUGUCUUGUAAUCAUUUUAAGCAUAAUUUAACACAGGGUUAACACCUAACAGGCACUAUUUAAAUCCACUUUGAACAUCAUUCCAGUGAUAACGCCUUGCAUUACACCUGGGGAGAAAAAAAAAACACUUCAAUUUGCUCAACUUGCCAUUGGCUCAACCGUUGGUUAAAUUUAGCCCAUGGCCACUUACCACAAGGCAAACAUUUUGACUAUAUUAGCCCACACAGCUACAAGGAUGGACAAGUAACCGGAAGGUUUGCGAGAUCAAAUCCCCGAGCUGACAAGGUAAACAUCUGUCGUUCUGCCCCCUGAACAAGGCAGUCAACCCACUGUUCCUAGGCCGUCGUUGUAAAUAAGAAUUUGUUCUUAACUGACUUGCCUAGUUAAACAAAGUUGUUGUUUUUUUAAACAGAAUAAAUUAGUUUUUGAACCUGACUUGCUUACCACUUUCUCCAUGUGGUUGCUUCCUUCACCAAUUCCAUGACAUGAUUACCUGUUCCUAACGUUUUUGUCAAGUCAUUCAUUAUGUGUGUGGUUCCUUAGAAACAAGGGUUGUUCAACUUACCCCUUUAUCUCAACUUAUCCCACUCUCCCCUACAGGUCCAGAGAGGUACUGGGUCAUGUUCAUUAGGCACCAAAUGGAAGAAAAUGGGGAAGAACUACCUGAACUUGUCCAAAAACAAACACUCAUUUGCAUAAGGUUCUAAAACGUUUUUGUUUUGUUUCGUGCCUUAAUGAACACGACUAUUCAACUAUUCUUAUAAUACAGAGAACUGACUUUCGACUUAGUAACAUUAGGCAGAAACCAUUUUCAGAUGCAAGUAUGGUAGUAGACUAAGAAGAAACAAAAAUACCUUUUCAGGGGUGGACCAUAUUUUUUUAUGAACCACAUGUGACACUUGAAAUUAGAUGUUUUCUGACAUGUGUGAUGAAAGGCCCAGUUCAGUCAAAAUUCAUUUCCCCUGUGUUUGAUCAGUGUUAUUUCCUGAUAGUUGCUGUUUGAAAAUACAAUCUACACAGGGCCUUCUAUAAUCAGAAGGUUUGCUUGGGCGGACGUUUCGGCUUGGCUGGUGGCAUCACCAGGUGGUAAAUUGGUGUUCCAAACCUCUCUGCCAGUCACAACUAGUUUUCCCCUCCCCACUUAGACCACUCCCAGACACACCUAGCAAAAUUCUUGCUUGAGCAUUUCUUGUUGUUGCUAAAAAGCUAUUUCUGCCAAUUUUAAUUAAAAACGAAUACAGUAGAGAAUGAUUUGAUGAUCAGAAUGAUUUGAUUAAAAAAAUGGCUGCAUUUGGCCUUUAAUGUGGAAAAAUAGCUUGAGCUUGUUUCUAUUUCUGAUGUUUUGCCUAGUUACGGCCAAAGUCCAUUUGAGGCGAUGUUCAAAAAUGGCCUCCCAGUCUCCCACCCACCUAUUGCAGAGACACACUG
ensembl:lncRNA